rnacentral:misc_RNA from 1 species
AAGUCGUAACAAGGUUUCCGUAGGUGAACCUGCGGAAGGAUCAUUAUUGAAUAAGCUUGGUUGGGUUGUUGCUGGCUCUUCGGGGCAUGUGCACGCCUAACACCAAUCUUUUUACCACCUGUGCACCUUUUGUAGACCUGGAUAUCUUUCGAGGAAACUCGGUAUGAGGACUGCUGUGCGUCAAAGCCGGCUUUCCUUACAUUUCCGGUCUAUGUCUUUAUAUACACCAUCAGUAUGUCUAUGAAUGUUAUUAUCGGACUUGACUGUCCAAUAAACCUUAUACAACUUUCAACAACGGAUCUCUUGGCUCUC